UAGAAGGAAAGGAAAAACCCAUGAAAAUGUCAAGUACAGCCAGAUCAAUGAUGAAAUAGAGUUCAUCAAACUUCACCUGGCUUAGAGGGCCUUAAAUAAAUAACACACAGUCUCAAAACGCACACAGCAGGACUUUAAUAAAUGAUGCACCCGUGAUUCGAUGGAUGAAUAGAGCUGGGAACCAGAGAAAGUACAACAUAGACGCUCGAGAGAAAUGGAGUAUGCAAUAGGAAGGAAACCAGGUUGAGGGCCGAAACUGCCAACGGGAGGUACUCGGAGUUGAUGGGAAAGUUCACAGCUCAUCUAUCAAAUCCCACCAUGACACAGCGUUGCUAUGCCAUCAGUUUCCUGUGCAAUCAGAAACCAUCACUGGCCUACACCCAAAGCAACAAAAAGAAGACAGAUAUUAACAUCUGAAACAGAAAUUAACAUCAUCACAAUUUGAAUCAUUCUUACUAGGUGAACUGGCGAACCAGUUAGCAGUUUCCAGAAAGCCCGAAGACACUUUUUGCUCAAGGUUUUUUUUUUCCUUCCCUUCUCUCUCUCCAACCCAACACAUACUAGAAAUUACGAGUAUGCAAUUAUUUUUUUUUUAAUUUCAGUUCUUUUUAUUCUGACUAUAUAGAAAUGUGCUUAAUUGGGCUUUUGUAAUUCAGAGAGAGUGAACAGAUGGAGGAAGGAAAAUUAUUAACUAAAUUUCCCCACCUCAUUGAUUGAGCCCAUCACAAUGAAGAUUAGAAAACUUGAGAUUCCUUAUCAUACUUUAGAAUAUAACCAUGUAAGCCACCCAGCAGUUUUAGGAAUUCCUGAAACAAAGGUAUUUAAUUGUCAUUAUAACCGGCAUGCCCCACCUCCCCAGCUUGAGGAUCAAAGACAAUGUGGUUUUUUGCUUUUUUUUUUUUUUUUUCUGUCACAUGUACUUAUUCAACUCUCAUUUUCCCAUUCAUUCCCCCAGAAGGCCAGUAUCUCUGCAUGGGUCUCCACUUGCUACUAAAAUAAGCAAGAAUCAGAAGGUUACUUACUCUGUCCAAUAUAGAGUCCUACCUCUAAAUACCUUCUAGAGAGGGGACUGGGUUUUCCCCUAAAUCUACACAUCAGAGAUUCUCAACAUUUUUUUUUUCAAAGUCAUUCGUUUUACUUGUACUUUGCACCUUGCUAUUUCCUACUACAUCAUAUUUUUAUUCCAAAAAUAUACUGGUUUUUACUCACUAAAAUGAUUUUAUUGUACCACCAUUUCAUUUCGCGGGGAGGGACACAACUUUCAGCUCUUGGUGUCACAUGAUGUUGCUACUGAGAGUAAACCCAAUGAUGCAAGGACACCAUCUGCCAUUUUCCAGACGUCACAGACCAUAGUGCUUCUUCACUCCUGGACUCCCAUGGUUAGAACCCUUGAGUGCAUUAUCUCUGAAGCAUAAACACCAUGCUGGGGUAGGGUGGGGGUGCGGGGUUGGGCCACUGGAGUAAGAGCCUGGCUUUAGUCACGCACUGGCCAAAAUAUGAGCCGUUCCCUCACAAUCCUCUAGAUCUGGGGUUGAUCUAAAUAGCAUGCUGUCAUGGUCAAUUCCCUCUUGGGGGCCCACAGGAGCUUUUCCAUGAUGAGUGUAAAACCAGAAUAAUAUUAAAACUUCCAAGGUACCUACUAUUUACAUAGCUACAAGGAGAUGGGUCAAAAUCACAAAAUGGUAGCCUGCCAACGGCAAGCAGGGAAGGCACGUUUUAUUUUGCAACUUCACUUGAUUAAAAUAAUAAUAGUAAUGAUAUUUCACUCAACCAGGCUUCCUGCUCUUUUUUUUUUUAAGAUUUUAUUCUUGAGUAAUCUCUACACCCAACUUGGGGAUCGAAUUCACAACCUUGAGAUCAAGAAUUGUAUGCUCCACCAACUGAGCCAGCCAGGUGACCCUCCAGGCCUCCUGCUUUGCCACAGAAAGCCAAGCAGGGAAGGAGCAAGACUCCAUUCGGUAAGACUCUAUUCGAUAAGAUAAUUACCCGAUUGUCUUCAAUAACUCACAUUGGUCAAGUCACUUCAGCUUUUCAUGUUGUGCUUUCCCCACAUCUCAGACGGGGGUCAUGAGAUCUUUGCUGCCUAACUUCCAGGUUAUUAUAAAACCGGUGAGCUAUCAGUGGUCACAGUGAUGGAAAAAGCUUUAAAAAUUACCCCGAUACAAAUACAAUCAUCAGUGUGACCUUUCAACUCUGUCUAAGGAAACUCUUCUACGAAAACAUUGAAAUGGGUAUGGAAGGGGCCUUGUUUCUAAGAAUUUACUUGGCUUAACUUUGGAAACCACCUUCCUAGCUGUGAGAAUUCUAAGGAUUUCAUCAUUAUGACUUUUUUUUUUUUUUUUUCCGGAAUCAAAACUGCCUUCCCUACUCACCCUUGAAGCUACUUCAAUAAAAGCUCUUCCUAGUGGGCA